ensembl:misc_RNA Metazoa_SRP Metazoan signal recognition particle RNA
GCCGGGCACAGUGGCUUAUGCCUGUAAUCCCAGCACUUUGGGAGGCCGAGACGGGCGGAUCACCUGAGGUCAGGAGUUCGAGACCAGCCUGGCCAAUAUGGUGAAAUCCCGUCUCUA